GGCUAGCGAUCCCGGGCAGGACGCCGAAACAGCAGCUCCAGCGAAGCCUCAAAAGCAGCAGCUCCGGCGAAGCAGUGGCGACGGCAAGCAACACCACAAAUAGAGUUUGCUCGGGCGAAGCUAUGGAGUUUUGGGUCCAUUGGAAAUGGAUUUUUUCAGAUCCGUCCGGGUACAUUUUAUUAGACUAUUAUCUUAUCUUUCAACAAUUUUGUUCCACUUUUCAUUUGCAAUUGGACCAUCAUUUUCCGACAUCAAAGUUUUGGGCAUGUCUACUUUAUGUGAAAGAUCAUUGUGAACCUUUUCUCAAAAUGAAUAUGUGUUCCUGCUAUUUGCUUUGAUUACAUUGGUUAAUUAUGACGUGUAAUUCAUAGAUUCUUAUUCAUUUCACUCGUAUAGGCGACUCUAUCUCGUUAACGUGGUAUGAGCUUAAUCACAGUCUGAAUUGUCUUGUUGGUUAUAGUGUUUGAUUUUGGGAAUUUAUUAUGGUAAGCAUCAUUUUACGAAUAGUUCGAUUUGGAUACAUAAUAGCCGUAGUGUUUCAUUUCUUAUGAUAAAAUUAGCAUAAAUUUUAGUUUUUCUUUCCUUAAUUAAUUUUAGACGGAUUGUGUCACUGAUUUUCGACCUUUACUGUAUUGUUUAUUGGCUAAAUUUGGAAUCUUGCCUAAUUAAUCCUUUAAAUUAAUUCUUUGGCCAUAGAUAACUCGUACCAGAUCUUUUACCCAUCACUGUGACUGGUUUGUAAUAUUUGAAAUUAUUUGUUAUGGUAAAUAUCUUGUUUUUUCAAAAAUAUUAAGUGAAAAUUGCAUAAUCAUUGAUUUCUUGUGAUUUUUAAUAUAUAUUUGUCAUCUCUAAUUGAUCCUUUUACCUUGAUUGAUUUUAAAUAUAUUCUUACAUGUUCUCUCUUUAACCAACAUUUCCCUUUCUUUUGAGAAAUUUAAGAUUGUCAUAAAUAGGAGAAAGAAAGAUCCAAAUACUAAAAUAAAGAAACAACAUUAUUUAUUCCUGUAAUUUUUAGCACCAAACUAUGCAGAUAAUGACUUGUUGAUUUGAGGAAAUGAUUUUGUGUUGUAAGAAGUACGUUACAUGCCUAAUCUCAAACUGUUUUAGGGGAUGGAGUAUUUAAAUGUCAUUAUAAUAAGCCAACACUAAUAGUUGUUGCUUAUGACUUGAGUUAUCUAAAGACGACUGAGGUACUCGUGGCUUCGCUCCUCAAUACUUUUUGUGAAAAUAAUUAAAAUUUGUUUGUCCCAGGUUGGACUAAAAUCUCUUGAAUUAAGCCAACUAGGAACUUCUGGAUAUUCCCCUACUACAGGAAAGCUACAAAAACCUGUAAAUAUAUGGUGCAUGUUGGUUUAUAGAAUAGCUUCUAAUAGGGAACAUUUGGUUUAUUUUAAUUGCCGAUUGUUUAAUAUCAUUUGGAGAUAUGCCUUUGUUACUCGUCUAGAUUUUGAUUUAUUUUUGUGUCCCGGUCGGCCAUAUCAUUUUGAUUUCAUUUUAUAAAUAAAAGAGCAUGAAAAUGUUGUAUAUAGGUUUUAUUCCUUCACAACAAAAGGGUGCCAAAAUGGAAAUAUUAAUUCGUCUGGUUUUUUCUUCUUCUUGAUUACUGUUAGUUUCCACAUUAAAAGGGUGUCCUAUGUUUGUAUAAGUUAUGUUCUGAUUUGUUCUAUUUUGAUUUGUUCUGUUCUUUACUAAGUUUUUAUCUUAUUUUCAGAUGUACGAAAUGUUUUUCAAAUGCUCUGUCUUGUUGGUUAUCUUAAGCUAUUUGGUCCUACUAUGCCUAAUUUCUAGAGAACUUUUGAGCUUGUGUGACAUUGGAAAUUCAGCCACGUGUUACCUAUAUCUGUUAAGUUUGAUGUUGGUAUUAUUGUUUGUAAUUAGCUUUGUAAGUUGAAUUUCUAUUUGAAUCCGGAACCUCACCUAAGUUAUGAUAAUCUUUCAACAAGGAAAAUACUUUAUACUGUCGUUUAUUCUCAUGUUGUUCAAAGCUAAUUGUUUCUAGACUCUUAUUGCUCAACUUCUUUUUUUCAUAACAUGAGGAAAUUCUCAAGUAUCACAUGAGCUUGUAUCUUCUGAGUUGCUGCACGCUUGAGUUGCCGAUGGACAGUUGCUAUGUAUUGCUUGCAACUAUUGUAUAUUACUGCAAAUAGUUAUUGCAUCUGAGGCUAAUCUCUGCUAUAUUUUGAGAAUAUUUGUUGCUGCAAUAUGCGGCUGAUUUCUGCUAUGUUUUGGGACUAUUUUCUGCCACGAUUUGAGGCCAUUUUGUUGCCGAAUUUUGGGACAUUUGUCACUGCAGUUUUGGCCAUUUACAGCUGCAUUUUUGCCAUGAUCUGCUAUUGGAACCACUUCCUUCCUGCUGCAUUUUGAGGUUGUUUCUUGCUUCAUUUUGAGAAAAACUACUGCAUCUUUGGACAAUUAGUUCCUGCAAUUCAAGCAGAUUUGAGGCUAAGUGCCUGAUUGUAUUUUUUUUGACAAAACAGAUGCUACAUUUUGUAUGAUGUUACACUUAUUUGAAUGAUACUACAAAGGCUGUUGAAAUAAAGUUGAGGGAAAACCCCUUCAAAAUAGUUAUCUUUGGUUUGGUUCUUUCAGAUGCUUGUGAUUAGUGACAAUAUUUUAUCUUUAAAAGCUUAACUUUUAGUGA
rnacentral:lncRNA from 1 species